AGCACUUGUGUUUCUGCUUAACAUGUGGACAAAGACAGGUGCAAAAAUAAAUUCUUGUUACAACCCAAACUCACUGUUCAGUAUGAAUUUUGACACAUACAAGAAGGAAUAUG
rnacentral:snoRNA from 1 species